rnacentral:lncRNA from 1 species
CUGCUCCUCAACCUUCUACUCCAACUCCUCAACCUUCUACUCCAACUCCUCAGACAUCUUCUCCUUCUCCUCAAUCUUCCACUCCAACUCCUCAAUCUUCUCCUUCUCCUCAACCUUCUACUCCAACUCCUCAACCUAGCACUCCUGCUCCUCAACCUAGCACUCCUGCUCCUCAACCAAGCACUCCUGCUCCAGCUUCUGGUCCAUCACCACCUGCACCUACCCCAGCUUCUGGUUCACCACCCUCACCACCAACUGCCACACCACCUGCACCUGCCCCAGCUUCUGGUUCACCACCAACUGCCACACCACCUAGUACUGUUGCUCCACCAAACUCUGCCAGAUCUCUUGGUUUCGCUGGCUUCACCACUUUCUUGUCCAUUUUUGUAGUUUUUUUGUGCUAUUAGAUUAC